AUAUUGCACAAUGGGGGAAACCCUGAUGCAGCAACGCCGCGUGAAGGAAGACGGUUUUCGGAUUGUAAACUUCUAUCAAUAGGGAAGAAAGAAAUGACGGUACCUGACGAAUAAGCCACGGCUAACUACGUGCCAGCAGCCGCGGUAAUACGUAGGUGGCAAGCGUUAUCCGGAUUUACUGGGUGUAAAGGGCGUGUAGGCGGGAUUGCAAGUCAGAUGUGAAAACCACGGGCUCAACCUGUGGCCUGCAUUUGAAACUGCAGUUCUUGAGUACUGGAGAGGCAGACGGAAUUCCUAGUGUAGCGGUGAAAUGCGUAGAUAUUAGGAGGAACACCAGUGGCGAAGGCGGUCUGCUGGACAGCAACUGACGCUGAGGCGCGAAAGCGUGGGGAGCAAACA
rnacentral:rRNA from 1 species